rnacentral:lncRNA from 1 species
UGGAAUAGGGCAAAACUGCGAGUUUUGACGAGUUCCCAUAACUGGACCCCGGGGUUCCCAAAACGUUCGGAUCGCAGCGGACCCAAAAUCAGUGAGUAAUAUCUUACAAAACACGGCAGAAUAAGCUAAAACUGCGAGUUUUGAAGAGUUCCACGUAACCGGACCCCGGGGUUCCCGAAACAUUCGUAUCGCAGCAGGAACCAAAAUCAUUGAGUAAUAGCAUACAAAACUGGCCGGAAUAGGCCAAAACUGCGAGUUUUCAAGAUUUCCCCUUCACCGGACCCCGGGGUUCCCAAAACGUUCGGAUGGCUUUGGGACCCAAAAUCGGUGACU